AAUAGUUUUAUGCCACAUCAGUAUUCUUAUCCUGAAUUUUAGGAUUUUAUCCUGAAAAAAAAUCAAAUCCAAAUUAAAAUACUGAAAUUCAGGAUAAACUCCUGAAAUUCAGGAUAAGAAUAUUGAUAUGGCAUAAAACUAUU
rnacentral:pre_miRNA from 1 species